CCUUCAUAAGUUAAUAUUCUACUACAAAUUAGUUAGCUUUAUGUUCCCAUUUAACUCUGAAAGAGGAAUACUAACUUAUUGGGCUCUUACAGUUUGCAUCUAUUUGUUCUGGUCCAUUUACAUGCUACUAUGGCGGUUAUGAGUUGAUUUAGUGUUUCCAACUGCAGGGGGCUACUCCUAAGAUGUUAGAGUUCAUGCGGGACCUUAGAAAGGUAGUAGCUAUUGGCGUUGUUGGAGGGUCUGAUUUUGUUAAGAUAGCAGAGCAGCUUGGAAAAACAGUUACUGAAGACUGCUGAGAGCGGCCUAGUUGCU